rnacentral:pre_miRNA from 11 species
GCCCGCACGGGAAAAUGCAUUUUCCCGUGCGGGCGUCUUAAUCCAACCGCACGGGAUAAGAGGAUUAUCCCGUGCGGUC